rnacentral:rRNA from 1 species
AUGAACGCUAGCGGCAGGCCUAACACAUGCAAGUCGAGGGAGAAGCCCUUUCGGGGGCCGAAACCGGCGCACGGGUGCGUAACGCGUAUGCAACCUACCUUUCACAGGGGGAUAGCCCGAAGAAAUUUGGAUUAAUACCCCAUAAUAUUAUUGGAUGGCAUCAUUUGAUAAUUAAAACUGCGGUGGUGAAAGAUGGGCAUGCGUCCUAUUAGCUAGUUGGAGUGGUAACGGCACCCCAAGGCUACGAUAGGUAGGGGUCCUGAGAGGGAGAUCCCCCACACUGGUACUGAGACAGGGACCAGACUCCUACGGGAGGCAGCAGUGAGGAAUAUUGGUCAAUGGUCGGAAGACUGAACCAGCCAUGCCGCGUGCAGGAAGAAUGCCUUAUGGGUUGUAAACUGCUUUUAUAUGGGAAGAAUAAGGUGUACGUGUACAUUGAUGACGGUACCAUAUGAAUAAGCAUCGGCUAACUCCGUG